GGAUCAAUGGAUCGGUCAUGCCUUGGUAUGUACUGAUCAUAUUGGUUCUCACCUUCUAACGAACCAUAAUGUCAUUAAUUUGGUGUUAUGGGGAAUUAGGACUGUUACCUUGAAAAAAUUAGAGUGUUUAAAGCAGGCUCACGCUUGAAUACAUUAGCAUGGAAUAAUGAAAUAGGACAUCGCAUUCUAUUUUGUUGGUUUCUAGGAUCGAUGUA
rnacentral:rRNA from 1 species